rnacentral:rRNA from 1 species
GUUAGGAAUCUUGCGCAAUGGGCGAAAGCCUGACGCAGCAACGCCGCGUGGGUGAGGAAGGCCUUCGGGUUGUAAAGCCCUUUUGGUAGGGACGAAAAAAAUGACGGUACCUACAGAAGAAGCACCGGCGAACUCCGUGCCAGCAGCCGCGGUAAUACGGAGGGUGCAAGCGUUACUCGGAUUUACUGGGCGUAAAGCGCGCGUAGGCGGUUUGGCAAGUUUGAUGUGAAAUCCCGGGACUCAAUUCCGGAAGUGCAUUGAAUACUGCCAGACUAGAGGAUGGGAGAGGUGAGCGGAAUUCCUGGUGUAGAGGUGAAAUUCGUAGAUAUCAGGAGGAACAACAGAGGCGAAGGCGGCUCACUGGACCAUUUCUGACGCUCAGGCGCGAAAGCGUGGGGAGCAAACAGGAUUAGAAACCCGGGUAGUCC